UACCAGCACCCCGAGUUGUCGGGACGAUUAUUGGGCCUAAAGCAUCCGUAGCCGGUUCUACAAGUCUUCCGUUAAAUCCACCUGCUCAACAGAUGGGCUGCGGAGGAUACUAUAGAGCUAGGAGGCGGGAGAGGCAAGCGGUACUUAGUGGGUAGGGGUAAAAUCCGUUGAUCCAUUGAAGACCACCAGUGGCGAAGGCGGCUUGCCAGAACGCACUCGACGGUGAGGGAUGAAAGCUGGGGGAGCAAACCGG
rnacentral:rRNA from 1 species